rnacentral:rRNA from 1 species
UACGAAGGGGGCUAGCGUUGCUCGGAAUCACUGGGCGUAAAGGGUGCGUAGGCGGGUCUUUAAGUCAGGGGUGAAAUCCUGGAGCUCAACUCCAGAACUGCCUUUGAUACUGAAGAUCUUGAGUUCGGGAGAGGUGAGUGGAACUGCGAGUGUAGAGGUGAAAUUCGUAGAUAUUCGCAAGAACACCAGUGGCGAAAGCGACUUCCUGGACCAAUACUGACGCUCAUGUGCGAAAGCGUGGGGAGCAAACAGG